AGUGAACGCUGGCGGCAGGCCUAACACAUGCAAGUCGAACGGUAACAGGAAACAGCUUGCUGUUUCGCUGACGAGUGGCGGACGGGUGAGUAAUGUCUGGGAAACUGCCUGAUGGAGGGGGAUAACUACUGGAAACGGUAGCUAAUACCGCAUAACGUCGCAAGACCAAAGAGGGGGACCUUCGGGCCUCUUGCCAUCGGAUGUGCCCAGAUGGGAUUAGCUAGUAGGUGGGGUAACGGCUCACCUAGGCGACGAUCCCUAGCUGGUCUGAGAGGAUGACCAGCCACACUGGAACUGAGACACGGUCCAGACUCCUACGGGAGGCAGCAGUGGGGAAUAUUGCACAAUGGGCGCAAGCCUGAUGCAGCCAUGCCGCGUGUAUGAAGAAGGCCUUCGGGUUGUAAAGUACUUUCAGCGGGGAGGAAGGGAGUAAAGUUAAUACCUUUACUCAUUGACGUUACCCGCAGAAGAAGCACCGGCUAACUCCGUG
rnacentral:rRNA from 1 species